GACAUGUAGGUGCAGCCCCUGCGGGUGGAGCUUAAGUCAGUCGAAGAUACCAGCUAUCUGCAACUGUUUAUUAUGAACACAACACUGUACAUACACGCAAGAGGACGUAUACGGAGUGACGCCUGCCCUGUCCCGACAGAUAAAUUUAUAGGGCUGCCU
rnacentral:rRNA from 1 species